rnacentral:lncRNA from 1 species
UGCAUAUUAUCACAGACUUCUGGCAAUGGGAAGAUUUGAAGUCUCAUGAGGAAAUUGGUAGAAUUACAUUCCUACACAGUCUCAAGCCACUCUUGGUUUUGUGACCCAGUCACCACCUGUGAAAAACCAGGUAUUUUCCAAAGCAACUGAGAGACACCUGCUCUGCACACAGUCCACUGCACACUGCUCUUCCAACUCAGCCCCUACACCGAGGAUCCUCCUUUCGCCACAACCUUCACAGGGUUUCGAGCAGAGCGCCAGAGAGUUUAGAAAGGUUCCAUCUGAGGCACCUUCAGCAGCUUCAUGGGUCACCUGCGGGAGCCAAGACAUUCAAAUUAACGUUGGUGGAAGACUUUGCAAGCUGUAACUCCGGAUGUUUCUGGACUCCUUCAGGGGUAAAUGCUGAGCAUGAUUCUUCCAGAGCCUUGAGACCGGAGCGCAGCUGUCAGUCGUCAUUCUGCAGUCUCACAGUGCCACCUUUUGGCUGUCAAAGGAAUUUAUGAUGCUCCUGACCAGAGAGGAUGGGAGGAAACAAGAAAUUUUAACUAAAACUAUGUAAGCAUUUCCGUUGGAAGCUACUGACUCUUUUUAAAAACUGGAGAAAGAAUUUGAGAAGUCAACCCUAAGAAAAUGGUGCCUUGGAAUAAAGCAGAAGUAGGAGCAGCGGGAGGCUGCCA